ensembl:lncRNA
AUGAAGCGACUCUCCGAGAUGGGAAAAGAAGACGCUUCGAGGGGAAGGUUAGCCUUGAGUGUUCCGGGAGGCUCGCCGCACCCCCAGGACGAGCAGGCAAACCCGGAGUCCGGCUUUCAGAAGAAAAGCCAACGCUGGCUAGGCGGGGAAGUUCUGGCUCUCUCGGGUCUGGCCCUUGGCAUCCCGGAAAAACAAUGGAUACCUGCAUAUAGUGAAAUUACUAAAUGCUCAGCCUGCUUGCCUGCCUACCUGCUGCUGCCAUCCACUUCGGACAGCCCCCAAUCCGGCUCCCGGCUCUGCUUGCCUGCGUUCCUGUCAUUCCUGGCCUACCCCAGUGCACCCAAUCCUUGUUCAACUCAGAUCCUUGGAGCAGAUCGCUCAGGACUCAUUUCUACCAGCUGGUAACAAACUCGGGGUAUUGACCAUGUGGGCGGAUCAGAGUGUAGGAGGGGAGAGAGAAAGGGAGAGGAAGAGAAACAGACUUUUAAGCAGGAACUUAAAAAGCAAUGGGCUGUUUAAAAGAAUACCUUUUCACUGUUCUGGUAAUUUCACUGAUUUCACCUGCGUGCCAGAAGAAAGAUUCAGCCCAAAGAUUCAACUUUGAAGGGGCAAAUGGGUGGCUCAGGGAACUGAGAGCCAGGCCUAAAGACAUGCAGUCCUGAGUUAAAAUCUCAGAUACUUCCCAGCUGUGGGGCCCUGAGCAGAUCCCUUAACUCCCAUUGCUUAGCCCUUACUACUCUGCCUUCGGACAAUAGGCAUUUAAAUGGAUAAUUAAUCAUUUAAAAAAAAACACACCUAAGGAACCUAAAGACUGGAGGUUAUAUGUUUUAAGACAUUUCAGACUCCAAUGGUUUAUAAAAAAUCUCUGUAUUUCUAUUGCAUUUCCUGAUUGUUUUGUUUAAGAUAUAACUUUGUGAUGUUAAGUUCAUAUAUUACUGGAUUGAAUAUUAUUCUGUUAUAAUGUUCAUUUAAUGUACUGAAUUUUAAAAUUCUGUUGCUUUUCCUCUAUAACCAUAUUUUGAAAAAAAAAACUCUCAUUGAAAUAAUUAAGCCCAUAUAUGAAAAAAUAGCCUUUCUAUUUUUGCAUUUGUAAAUUGUCACAUAGAGGAUAGAUGGACUUCAUCAGAACUGGUUACAAUUGCUAUAACAACCUUUGGAAAAUUUUAUGUGCUGAAUAUCUCAAAUGAUUUUAAGGGUUUUUAAAUUAUGAUUUUGUAAUUUUUUUUAACAAUCUCUAGUUAUUUUUGCCUGCCCCUAACAUGAGGUGUAAGGCCAAUUCUAGCUGAAGUGAAAUACAUUUUAUAACCCCCAACCUUCCCGCAUUUCUAAAUAUGUGAAUGGAAGUUGGGGCAGUUAAUCUCAGGGCAUUUGUACCCCUAAAAAGCCUCCAAAAAAGGAGCACCUCUUUAUUUAUACUCUUCAGCUCACUACAUUACUUCUACCAGAAUAUAUAGAUUUCUUGAUUAUGUUCUUAACCCAAGAUGAGUUUUACUUUGUUUAAAAAAAAUAUGUUUAAAUACCAAGGUUGAAAGAUUGUUACAUUUGUAAAAACUUGUGACAAAUGUCCAUCAAUUCAUAGGUUUGAAAAAUGCCAUACAGCAACUUAUGUGAAAUAUGAUAGUGUGUUUGUUUUCUAUUGUAAUUAAUUGGGCUAUUGAGAAUAUUGGGGAUAUUGAUAUCUACAUAUUUAUACUACUGUUCUUUAUUUUAUUUAAAAUACAUACAUACAUAUAUAUAUAUACCUUGUUCAAUUCAUUUGUUUUCACUCACAGUGGAGCAUGGCCAGAUAGUAAGAGGAAAUGGAUCUCAUUUUUGAUGAGAAAGCCUUGUAUGCUAUAUUUUCUUAGCUGACACAGUGUGUCAAUGAUUAUAAGCUACAUUUUUGAAUUUUUAAAGCUCUUUUACUAUUAUAUUUGUCUUGCAUGUGCAAUAUACAUUUUCAGUUUUUUUCUCUCUUUUUUAUAUUUGAAGCACAUGUCACCAGUAUUAAGAUUUUAUUUAACCUUUUGAUUUUUCAGUACCACAAGCUUAAGAUACAUUCACUAAUGCAUGCCCUAAAAAGCUUGUGACUAUAAAAAUGAUGCCACUAAUUAUUUAAAUAAAUUAUGGGACUUUGCUUAAUGAUUCUGUCUG